UGGCUGAGCGGUAAAGCGCUUGGCUUCCGAACCAGGGGACGCGGGUUCGAAUCCUGU
rnacentral:tRNA from 1 species